AGAGUUUGAUCCUGGCUCAGGAUGAACGCUAGCGACAGGCUUAACACAUGCAAGUCGAGGGGCAGCAUGAUUUGUAGCAAUACAGAUUGAUGGCGACCGGCGCACGGGUGAGUAACGCGUAUGCAACUUACCUAUCAGAGGGGGAUAACCCGGCGAAAGUCGGACUAAUACCGCAUGAAGCAGGGAUCCCGCAUGGGAAUAUUUGCUAAAGAUUCAUCGCUGAUAGAUAGGCAUGCGUUCCAUUAGGCAGUUGGCGGGGUAACGGCCCACCAAACCGACGAUGGAUAGGGGUUCUGAGAGGAAGGUCCCCCACAUUGGUACUGAGACACGGACCAAACUCCUACGGGAGGCAGCAGUGAGGAAUAUUGGUCAAUGGCCGAGAGGCUGAACCAGCCAAGUCGCGUGAAGGAAGAAGGAUCUAUGGUUUGUAAACUUCUUUUAUAGGGGAAUAAAGUGGAGGACGUGUCCUUUUUUGUAUGUACCCUAUGAAUAAGCAUCGGCUAACUCCGUGCCAGCAGCCGCGGUAAUACGGAGGAUGCGAGCGUUAUCCGGAUUUAUUGGGUUUAAAGGGUGCGUAGGUGGUGAUUUAAGUCAGCGGUGAAAGUUUGUGGCUCAACCAUAAAAUUGCCGUUGAAACUGGGUUACUUGAGUGUGUUUGAGGUAGGCGGAAUGCGUGGUGUAGCGGUGAAAUGCAUAGAUAUCACGCAGAACUCCGAUUGCGAAGGCAGCUUACUAAACCAUAACUGACACUGAAGCACGAAAGCGUGGGGAUCAAACAGGAUUAGAUACCCUGGUAGUCCACGCAGUAAACGAUGAUCACUAGCUGUUUGCGAUACACUGUAAGCGGCACAGCGAAAGCGUUAAGUGAUCCACCUGGGGAGUACGCCGGCAACGGUGAAACUCAAAGGAAUUGACGGGGGCCC
rnacentral:rRNA from 1 species